AUUGAACGCUGGCGGCAUGCCUUACACAUGCAAGUCGAACGGCAGCACGGGGGCAACCCUGGUGGCGAGUGGCGAACGGGUGAGUAAUGCAUCGGAACGUGCCCAGUAGUGGGGGAUAACCCGGCGAAAGCCGGGCUAAUACCGCAUACGACCUACGGGUGAAAGAGGGGGACCGUAAGGCCUCGCGCUAUUGGAGCGGCCGAUGUCUGAUUAGCUAGUUGGCGGGGUAAAGGCCCACCAAGGCGAUGAUCAGUAGCUGGUCUGAGAGGACGACCAGCCACACUGGGACUGAGACACGGCCCAGACUCCUACGGGAGGCAGCAGUGGGGAAUUUUGGACAAUGGGCGCAAGCCUGAUCCAGCCAUGCCGCGUGCGGGAAGAAGGCCUUCGGGUUGUAAACCGCUUUUGGCAGGAACGAAACGGCGCAAGCUAAUACCUUGCGCUAAUGACGGUACCUGCAGGAUAAGCACCGGCUAACUACGUGCCAGCCGCCGCCGUAAGAC
rnacentral:rRNA from 1 species